rnacentral:lncRNA from 1 species
CCCCAUCGUUGAGCCCGUGUGGUUCAAGGCUGGUGCUCAGAUCUUCGCCGAGGGCGGCCUGGACUACCUGGGCAACCCCGGCCUGGUGCACGCCCAGUCCAUCCUGGCCACCCUGGCGGUGCAGGUCAUUCUGAUGGGCGCUAUUGAGGGCUACCGCGUCAACGGCGGCCCCGCUGGCGAGGGCCUGGUGAGUGCUUGCGGCAAAAGGGUUGGUGAUGUGUGAUGGGGCUGCGUAUGUACACGCUGCUGUGCAUAAUUUAGGUCAUGGAAUGAUAUAGCUUGUUGCUAACCUGAAUGCUUUCGUAACCCCAACAGGACAAGCUGCACCCCGGCGGCCAGUUCUUCGACCCCCUGGGCCUGGCUGAGGACCCCGAUGCUUUCGCUGAGCUGAAGGUGAAGGAGAUCAAGAACGGCCGCCUGGCCAUGUUCUCCAUGUUCGGCUUCUUCGUCCAGGCCAUCGUGACCGGCAAGGGCCCCCUGGCCAACCUGGACGAGCACCUGGCGUCUCCCUUCACCUCCAACGCCUUCACCUACGCCCAGAAGUUCACCCCUCAGUAAUGCCCCUUCACUUGGCUGGCAGCUGUUGAUGGCGCGUUUGCUGAUGGCAAAUUAUUUGGGUCAGAAGUGGUGUAGACGUGGCGUGGCCAGUUUAGUGCUACAUGUCUACCGUGUAUGACCCGCGUUUUCUUUCCAUCUCCCCUUCCCACCCAUCAUUGUUAUUCGGGACACACCGAACAAAAGCCCUCCACAUGCUCCUGAGGCUGUGAACGCCUCAGGUACCUAAGUGCGCUUGCUUGCCCCUAACUUGCAGCGGGCACGUGUAU